ACGGGGGGAUCGAACGUUAAUCGGAAUUACUGGGCGUAAAGCGCGCGUAGGCGGUUUGUUAAGUGAGAUGUGAAAGCCCUGGGCUCAACCUGGGAACUGCAUUUCAAACUGGCAAGCUAGAGUAUGGUAGAGGCCGGUAGAAUUUCCUGUGUAGCGGUGAAAUGCGUAGAUAUAGGAAGGAAUACCGAUGGCGAAGGCAGCCGGCUGGACCAAUACUGACGCUGAGGUGCGAAAGCGUGGGGAGCAAACAGG
rnacentral:rRNA from 1 species